rnacentral:rRNA from 1 species
GUUAAGCGACUAAGCGUACACGGUGGAUGCCCUGGCAGUCAGAGGCGAUGAAGGACGUGCUAAUCUGCGAUAAGCGUCGGUAAGGUGAUAUGAACCGUUAUAACCGGCGAUUUCCGAAUGGGGAAACCCAGUGUGUUUCGACACACUAUCAUUAACUGAAUCCAUAGGUUAAUGAGGCGAACCGGGGGAACUGAAACAUCUAAGUACCCCGAGGAAAAGAAAUCAACCGAGAUUCCCCCAGUAGCGGCGAGCGAACGGGGAGCAGCCCAGAGCCUGAAUCAGUGUGUGUGUUAGUGGAAGCGUCUGGAAAGGCGCGCGAUACAGGGUGACAGCCCCGUACACAAAAAUGCACAUGCUGUGAGCUCGAUGAGUAGGGCGGGACACGUGGUAUCCUGUCUGAAUAUGGGGGGACCAUCCUCCAAGGCUAAAUACUCCUGACUGACCGAUAGUGAACCAGUACCGUGAGGGAAAGGCGAAAAGAACCCCGGCGAGGGGAGUGAAAAAGAACCUGAAACCGUGUACGUACAAGCAGUGGGAGCACGCUUAGGCGUGUGACUGCGUACCUUUUGUAUAAUGGGUCAGCGACUUAUAUUCUGUAGCAAGGUUAACCGAAUAGGGGAGCCGAAGGGAAACCGAGUCUUAACUGGGCGUUAAGUUGCAGGGUAUAGACCCGAAACCCGGUGAUCUAGCCAUGGGCAGGUUGAAGGUUGGGUAACACUAACUGGAGGACCGAACCGACUAAUGUUGAAAAAUUAGCGGAUGACUUGUGGCUGGGGGUGAAAGGCCAAUCAAACCGGGAGAUAGCUGGUUCUCCCCGAAAGCUAUUUAGGUAGCGCCUCGUGAAUUCAUCUCCGGGGGUAGAGCACUGUUUCGGCAAGGGGGUCAUCCCGACUUACCAACCCGAUGCAAACUGCGAAUACCGGAGAAUGUUAUCACGGGAGACACACGGCGGGUGCUAACGUCCGUCGUGAAGAGGGAAACAACCCAGACCGCCAGCUAAGGUCCCAAAGUCAUGGUUAAGUGGGAAACGAUGUGGGAAGGCCCAGACAGCCAGGAUGUUGGCUUAGAAGCAGCCAUCAUUUAAAGAAAGCGUAAUAGCUCACUGGUCGAGUCGGCCUGCGCGGAAGAUGUAACGGGGCUAAACCAUGCACCGAAGCUGCGGCAGCGACACUAUGUGUUGUUGGGUAGGGGAGCGUUCUGUAAGCCUGUGAAGGUGUGCUGUGAGGCAUGCUGGAGGUAUCAGAAGUGCGAAUGCUGACAUAAGUAACGAUAAAGCGGGUGAAAAGCCCGCUCGCCGGAAGACCAAGGGUUCCUGUCCAACGUUAAUCGGGGCAGGGUGAGUCGACCCCUAAGGCGAGGCCGAAAGGCGUAGUCGAUGGGAAACAGGUUAAUAUUCCUGUACUUGGUGUUACUGCGAAGGGGGGACGGAGAAGGCUAUGUUGGCCGGGCGACGGUUGUCCCGGUUUAAGCGUGUAGGCUGGUUUUCCAGGCAAAUCCGGAAAAUCAAGGCUGAGGCGUGAUGACGAGGCACUACGGUGCUGAAGCAACAAAUGCCCUGCUUCCAGGAAAAGCCUCUAAGCAUCAGGUAACAUCAAAUCGUACCCCAAACCGACACAGGUGGUCAGGUAGAGAAUACCAAGGCGCUUGAGAGAACUCGGGUGAAGGAACUAGGCAAAAUGGUGCCGUAACUUCGGGAGAAGGCACGCUGAUAUGUAGGUGAAGUCCCUUGCGGAUGGAGCUGAAAUCAGUCGAAGAUACCAGCUGGCUGCAACUGUUUAUUAAAAACACAGCACUGUGCAAACACGAAAGUGGACGUAUACGGUGUGACGCCUGCCCGGUGCCGGAAGGUUAAUUGAUGGGGUUAGCGCAAGCGAAGCUCUUGAUCGAAGCCCCGGUAAACGGCGGCCGUAACUAUAACGGUCCUAAGGUAGCGAAAUUCCUUGUCGGGUAAGUUCCGACCUGCACGAAUGGCGUAAUGAUGGCCAGGCUGUCUCCACCCGAGACUCAGUGAAAUUGAACUCGCUGUGAAGAUGCAGUGUACCCGCGGCAAGACGGAAAGACCCCGUGAACCUUUACUAUAGCUUGACACUGAACAUUGAGCCUUGAUGUGUAGGAUAGGUGGGAGGCUUUGAAGUGUGGACGCCAGUCUGCAUGGAGCCGACCUUGAAAUACCACCCUUUAAUGUUUGAUGUUCUAACGUUGACCCGUAAUCCGGGUUGCGGACAGUGUCUGGUGGGUAGUUUGACUGGGGCGGUCUCCUCCUAAAGAGUAACGGAGGAGCACGAAGGUUGGCUAAUCCUGGUCGGACAUCAGGAGGUUAGUGCAAUGGCAUAAGCCAGCUUGACUGCGAGCGUGACGGCGCGAGCAGGUGCGAAAGCAGGUCAUAGUGAUCCGGUGGUUCUGAAUGGAAGGGCCAUCGCUCAACGGAUAAAAGGUACUCCGGGGAUAACAGGCUGAUACCGCCCAAGAGUUCAUAUCGACGGCGGUGUUUGGCACCUCGAUGUCGGCUCAUCACAUCCUGGGGCUGAAGUAGGUCCCAAGGGUAUGGCUGUUCGCCAUUUAAAGUGGUACGCGAGCUGGGUUUAGAACGUCGUGAGACAGUUCGGUCCCUAUCUGCCGUGGGCGCUGGAGAACUGAGGGGGGCUGCUCCUAGUACGAGAGGACCGGAGUGGACGCAUCACUGGUGUUCGGGUUGUCAUGCCAAUGGCACUGCCCGGUAGCUAAAUGCGGAAGAGAUAAGUGCUGAAAGCAUCUAAGCACGAAACUUGCC